rnacentral:lncRNA from 1 species
CAGAGACUAGAGCAAGAAGCAACCUGGGCCAGCAGGUAUCCAACCAUAACUUAUAAUGGGUUCGGUUGACAGGAUUGGUAUCCAGGGAGCCACGUUUACUCAGUAUGUCAAAGAAUAAACAGUCCUUGGCAGGUGACUAGCAGAGGGACAUUUUGUGAGCCUCUUCCUGUAGAAGGCAACAGACAGGAGGCACAGGUGUGAUAUUGUGUGAGUUGUGACCCUUUCCCCCCAUGAGAUGUGUAUACCUACCUAUAAAGGGUAUCUCAGGAUACAUAUGAGCUAGGAAUGGGGCAAGGGUCAUAUUCAAUAGGUAAAUGCCCUAGGAGUUUUCAGGAUCCCCAAAUAACUGGCUACAUAGAAGACAGAGGGGAAAACUACUCAGCCCUCCCUUUGCUAUCUGAGGUAGUGCUGGUCUGCUUUCAUGAUGAUGAACUCACCAUGGACUUCACAGUUUUUGAGGCCAUGUCUAAGAGCUGUUCAGCUGGAUUCCUGGUUACUAGUAAGAUGGUCUUCCUUCCUUCUCUCUGUCUUCCCUCUCUCCCUCCCUUCUUCCUUCCUUCCUUCCUUCGUUCCUUCCUUUGUUCCUUCCUUCCUUCGUUCCUUUCUUCCUUCGUUCCUUCCUUCCUUCCCUUCCUUCCUUCCUUCCUUCCUUCCUUCCUUCCUUCCUUCGUUCCUUCCUUCCGUCCUUCCUUCCUUCCGUCCUUCCUUCCUUCGUUCCUUCCUUCCUCCUUCCUUCCUUCUUCCUUCCUUCCCCUCCUCCCUCCUUCCCCUCCUUCUGUCCUUCCUUCCUUCCCCUCCUUCUGUCCUUCCUUCCUUCCUUCCUUCCGUCCUUCCUUCCUUCCGUCCUUCCUUCCUCCUUCCUUCCUUCCUCCUUCCUUCCUUCCCCUCCUUCCUUCCUUCCCCUCCUCCCUUCCUUCCCCUCCUCCCUCCUUUCCCCUCCUCCCUCCUUUCCCCUCUCCCCUCCACUUCCUUCCUUCCUUUCUGGGUGAAAAGGGGACUGUUCAGACUAAGGGCAACAUAGGCCAAGAACCAGGCCAGAAUGACGACAGAAGGGUAGAAUAUAGUUUAGGCAUGGUCUUUUAAGCCCUGAGGGGCUGCAUGAGUUCAGAUGGCCUAAGUUAUGUCAGAUGAAAAAAUUCAGGAGCUGACUAUAACAAAG